UGUUACAGCAAAAACUUACAAAGAAUGCAUUACUUGUGAGAGUUUCAUCUUUAUGUGCACUAACUCAGUGCAACAACCUGACGAAGUUAGUAUUGUUGUUAUCAUCAUUUCAGUGGUAAAGAAACAGGCACAGAGAAUGAAGGAACAUGCCUAAGAUUACACAGCUAGAAGUGGCUGAGCUGGGAUUUGAGCCCAGAGAGGCUGGCUUUGGAGUUUGGGAUCUUAGUGACUUCACUGUACUGCCUCUUAAUGAUUUAAAAUGCAAAUACCCUAUGGGCAAGGCACUUGCUGUGUGCUGGACACCGUGCUAGAUGUGGGGUAUACAGUGGCAAACAAUUAUGCAUGCUCCUUGCCCUUAAAGUAGCCCAACUUCUGAAGGGGAAACUAGCUAGCUAUAAACUGGCAACUUUAAUAUAGUUCUGCCAGUGUCCUGGAUGCCAAGGGGUGCAAGGUUAGUAGUGGGCUCUAAAUUCUGCCCAAGUUAGAAUCUCUGUUCCUCCACUUCCCAGCUGUGUGAUCUUGAGCAUGUUAACAAACGUCUCUGUGUCUCUAUAAUGUCAGCAUCUAUAACUCAGAGCAUCAGUUUUAGAAGGAUUAAAUGAUAUAAUUUGGAGACAUGGGUUACUCUAGUGUGACAUACUGCUUAGGUCUGAUUUCUGAUUCCAUCAAUUCCUAGCUCUGUGACCUUGAGCACAUUACUUCUCUGUGCCCCAGUUCCCUCACCUAUAGAGUGGGAACAAUAGUAUCUACCUCACAGGGUCUACUAUAGAAUGAGUUAAUACAAAACAUGUAAUCUGUGAGCACUCAUUGUAAAAUAACUGUCCACCCAGGUAUCACCAAGUGUUACCACUAAAUACACCCUGCUUCCUCAUGCUUCCAUCUCUUUGCACAUGCUGUUCCCUAUACUUGGAAUGCCCAUCCCCACCUUCUCUCUCAAAUGGACAAAGGCUCAUUCUUCAAGGUCCAGCUCAAUGUCCCCCUGCGCUGCGUUUCAUAGCCCUGCAGGGGAAGUUGAUUACCUCACCUUUGUACAUACACCUAGUUUCCACCACCCUCCCUUGUGGCUAUCAAAGAGAUGGGGCAAAAUUCUGAGGAGUCUGCAACACUUUAUUUUUUUUUUACUUCCACAUUGAAUUGUGUUGCUUAGGAUAACAGAGGACUGUUGGUGGACUCUAAAGUUUAGUAAUGAGCUUAAAAAUUAGAUGUCAUAUGAAGGAGUUGUCAGAAGCUGGCCCCAAAUAUUGUGCCUACCUAUUACUGAAUAUGCAGUUUAAUCCACAUUUAAUAUUACCAUUAGUCUACCAUGUAAUGUUAUAUUGGCUAAUACUCUAAAGCAUGUUGUUUUCUAACACAACUCAUGUGUAUUCUGGUUGGAUGUAUUUUGUUUGUUCCUGAGACCCUGAAGAAAGAAUUAAAACAGGUAUUUAGUAGGAACUGAGAGUCUUAAAAUGAAUCCUACAUUCUUUCAUAUAUUCAUGCUUUUGCAUCCAUUCAUUCACAAGGAUUUUUUAUUUAUUAUUUCUAUAACACCAGGUGCUGUAAAGCACCUUUUCUGACCAUUAUAUAUCAGGCUGACAGGCUUUAGCUACACUCAGAUGUACAAAGGAAAUGUUCAUUCUUUAUUUUCUAGAAUUUCCUAGGCAUCCUCACCCCACAGAUCAUGGAAAAACUUAAGACUUGUCAAUUAAUAAUAUCUCUGCCUAUUGUGGUUUCAAUAGUCUCCUUUCAGUUUAUGGGUUCAGUCUAUCCCAGGUCUAACUCUCCAGCAGAGCUGGGCUAAGUGGUGUCUUUGGGAUGACUAGAUCCCUUUGGAUAAAUAUUCAGUCUUCCAAAUCUCCACCCUUCCCCCAUUCUCAUUCCCAAGAUGUGCCUGGGUAUAUUGGGGCUUACUAUUUCUUUGGGACAAGAAGUAGCAGGGGGAGAGAGGGUGGGGGUCUCCUGACCUCAUAAUGGUCUUUGGCUAGUCUGCACUGGGGAGGGAGGAGGGUUAUGGGUCUGAAUUUGGGCCAUGUUUGGUUGUCAACUGUUGAGGAAUGGUCAACCUGAUUCUGUCCUGGGCAUUUGUCUGCUGAGUGGCACUGGAGCAUGACUCCUGGCCGAUCUGUCCUCUGAGCACAGGCAAGGACUCCAGAGAGAACAGCCAGGUUCCCUUGCUGAGCAAGUCUCACCUUCUCUCAUCGGUGCCGCCGACCCCACUGAGGUGUGCUUGGGAAAGAGGGAGAACAUGUAUGGGGCUUGGAAAAAAACAGUGGCGGGAAGGCAACUUGAUAACUGAUGAUUUUCUGAGUGCUUCAGCCUGAAGGAAGCCAACAGCUGCAACAUAUUGGUUACAUGGAAAUCAUUAAGUCAUUCUGGGAAAGAAUGACAAAUGUGUGUGCCUGUGUAUAUAUGGUAGACAUGUGUUUACAUAUGGAGCAAGGCACCCACAGAGGGGAUUGCUUCAAUGCUCUCUCCAGGCCAAGAGAAGAAAAAAGAAAUUCAAUUAAAGCUCCAUUGCAGGA